GGGACCCGGGACUUCCAAGUGUAUCCAGGACUAAGAAGAGAUGCACGGCUGACGCCCGACAGUGACUCCUCCGUAACAUUCCGUGUCCCUGGCGCUCCACAGCCUCGCCCAAGCUCUGGCUCUAAAUGACACUGUCUUUAUUAAUUUUUCAAAUAACAAAAUGAACAUCGAGUAGUCCCUGUUGAGUGUUCCCUCUGUGUAGGAAAUAUAACUUACAUGUACUUGCUUAUUUUUCCUUGCACAAAAUCCUAUGAAGUAGCAUCAUUCCUAUUUUGCAUACAAGGAAACCAAAACCACGGAGAUGCUAAGAUAAAUAUCCCAAGAUGACUCAUCUGGGAAACGCCAGAUCUAGGAUGUGGACCUGCUGCUCAACUAUUGGUGUCUACAUUUCAACUGGAUACUUCUUCAAAGGCAAUUCUGUCCAUGUGACUCAUAGAACAGUUCUUGGCUGGUUUUCCUACCAGCCAAAUCAGAGACUCUCAAGCUUCAGCCUAAUCAUAGCCCAUGGAAUCCGAAACUAGGAGUCAGCAAAGGUCAAGAAUUUUCAGGGUAGCUGUCCAACGAGAGAAUUUCAAAUAUCAAGCUCCGAGACUGCUCACUCUCAGAAUGGCCUUUUCUAAAAUGUACUGAAUCGAAAAGUUGUUAUUUGUGUGUUGGCCGUGCUGGGUCUUGGUUGCCGUGAGGACUUUGUCUAGUUGCGGUGUCCGUUGUGGUCCGCAGGCUUCUCUUCGCAAAGCAUGGGCUCUGAGAACAGACUUCAGUGGCUGUGGCACAUGGGCACAGAUGCCUCAGGCCACGUGGGAUCUUCCUGGACCAGGUACUGAACCUGCGUUCUCUGCAUUGGCAAGCGGAUUCUUAGCCACUGGACCACCAGGGAAACCCUCAGCAAGGUCUGUUAAGUGACUGAUCCGUUGAUCAAUCCAUUCAACAGCUAAGAGGUUUGAACAUCUCCAAAGCUGCUUACGAUACAAGAACUUCACAGAGGUUCAGCAGCCAGCAAAGCCACCAGAAGAUGUGACGGUUAGUUCUACGUGGGGGCUUGGAGAAGCUGCAGCGCCUGGCUAUUUAAUCAGAUGCUCAUCUAAAUAUUGCUGAGGAGGUAUCGUGUAGGUUCCGGGGCCGCAUCACUGGGCUAUUUUAAAAGUGGAGAGACCAUGCUCCCAGGACUGCCCGGUGAUCAGACCUCCAUCCUCAAGACUGCCCCUGGCUUGGAAGCCUCAGCUGGGUGGGAGGCAGUCCCCUGGUCCAAUCUUCCGUUCCCAGCAGAGCUCCUGCCUCCCACGCUGAGACGUCUCCAAGCUUCUGGGAGAGUUGCCCCUUUCAGGAGGGAAGUGUCAUCAGCGGUCCCACUGCAGAACAAAGUCAUCACCUGCCAUGAACACGCACUAUCGUUUUUUUUCAUCUUUAAG
ensembl:lncRNA